AAUCAACGCUGGCGGCGUGCCUCAGACAUGCAAGUCGAACGAUUAAAGCUCUCUUCGGAGAGUGUAUAGAGUGGCGCACGGGUGAGUAACACGUAAGUAAUCUACCCUCGAGUGGGGAAUAACGUCCGGAAACGGACGCUAAUACCGCAUAAUGCAGCGGCACCGCAAGGUGACAGUUGUUAAAGAUUUAUCGCUUGAGGAGGAGCUUGCGGCAGAUUAGCAGUUGGUAAGGUAAUGGCUUACCAAGGCUACGAUCUGUAACCGGUCUAAGAGGACGGUCGGUCACACUGACACUGAAUAACGGGUCAGACUCCUACGGGAGGCAGCAGUCGGGAAUUUUGGGCAAUGGGCGAAAGCCUGACCCAGCAACGCCGCGUGAAGGAUGAAGUAUUUCGGUAUGUAAAC
rnacentral:rRNA from 1 species